CAGUCGCCGCGGUAAUACGAAGGGUGCAAGCGUUACUCGGAAUUACUAGGCGUAAAGCGUGCGUAGGUGGUGGUUUAAGUCCGUUGUGAAAGCCCUGGGCUCAACCUGGGAAUUGCAGUGGAUACUGGGUCACUAGAGUGUGGUAGAGGAUAGUGGAAUUUCCGGUGUAGCAGUGAAAUGCGUAGAGAUCGGAAGGAACAUCUGUGGCGAAGGCGACUAUCUGGGCCAACACUGACACUGAGGCACGAAAGCGUGGGGAGCAAACAGGAUUAGAUACCCCUGUAGUCCCUGUCUCUUAUAC
rnacentral:rRNA from 1 species